CAAAAGAUAAAUAAUUAUAGGAUUUUCAGUAGCACAACAAGUUAUCAAGUUUUCGUUCCGUUAUUUUUUCAUCUCCUAUUUAUUUUUUGUUCGUUCUUUAUCCAUC
rnacentral:ribozyme from 9 species